UCUGAAUAUGGGGGGACCAUCCUCCAAGGCUAAAUACUCCUGACUGACCGAUAGUGAACCAGUACCGUGAGGGAAAGGCGAAAAGAACCCCGGCGAGGGGAGUGAAAAAGAACCUGAAACCGUGUACGUACAAGCAGUGGGAGCACAGGUUUACCUGUGUGACUGCGUACCUUUUGUAUAAUGGGUCAGCGACUUAUAUUCUGUAGCAAGGUUAACCGUAUAGGGGAGCCGAAGGGAAACCGAGUCUUAACCGGGCGUUAAGUUGCAGGGUAUAGACCCGAAACCCGGUGAUCUAGCCAUGGGCAGGUUGAAGGUUGGGUAACACUAACUGGAGGACCGAACCGACUAAUGUUGAAAAAUUAGCGGAUGACCUGUGGCUGGGGGUGAAAGGCCAAUCAAACCGGGAGAUAGCUGGUUCUCCCCGAAAGCUAUUUAGGUAGCGCCUCGUGAAUUCAUCUCCGGGGGUAGAGCACUGUUUCGGCUAGGGGGCCAUCCCGGCUUACCAACCCGAUGCAAACUGCGAAUACCGGAGAAUGUUAUCACGGGAGACACACGGCGGGUGCUAACGUCCGUCGUGAAGAGGGAAACAACCCAGACCGCCAGCUAAGGUCCCAAAGUCAUAGUUAAGUGGGAAACGAUGUGGGAAGGCCCAGACAGCCAGGAUGUUGGCUUAGAAGCAGCCAUCAUUUAAAGAAAGCGUAAUAGCUCACUGGUCGAGUCGGCCUGCGCGGAAGAUGUAACGGGGCUAAACUAUGCACCGAAGCUGCGGCAGCGACACUAUGUGUUGUUGGGUAGGGGAGCGUUCUGUAAGCCUGUGAAGGUGUGUCGUGAGGCAUGCUGGAGGUAUCAGAAGUGCGAAUGCUGACAUAAGUAACGAUAAAGCGGGUGAAAAGCCCGCUCGCCGGAAGACCAAGGGUUCCUGUCCAACGUUAAUCGGGGCAGGGUGAGUCGACCCCUAAGGCGAGGCCGAAAGGCGUAGUCGAUGGGAAACGGGUUAAUAUUCCCGUACUUGGUGUUACUGCGAAGGGGGGACGGAGAAGGCUAUGUUGGCCGGGCGACGGUUGUCCCGGUUUAAGCGUGUAGGUGUGUGUUCCAGGUAAAUCCGGUUCACUUUAACACUGAGGCGUGACGACGAGGCACUACGGUGCUGAAGCAACAAAUGCCCUGCUUCCAGGAAAAGCCUCUAAGCAUCAGGUAACAUCAAAUCGUACCCCAAACCGACACAGGUGGUCAGGUAGAGAAUACCAAGGCGCUUGAGAGAACUCGGGUGAAGGAACUAGGCAAAAUGGUGCCGUAACUUCGGGAGAAGGCACGCUGACACGUAGGUGAAGUGAUUUACUCAUGGAGCUGAAGUCAGUCGAAGAUACCAGCUGGCUGCAACUGUUUAUUAAAAACACAGCACUGUGCAAACACGAAAGUGGACGUAUACGGUGUGACGCCUGCCCGGUGCCGGAAGGUUAAUUGAUGGGGUCAGCGCAAGCGAAGCUCCUGAUCGAAGCCCCGGUAAACGGCGGCCGUAACUAUAACGGUCCUAAGGUAGCGAAAUUCCUUGUCGGGUAAGUUCCGACCUGCACGAAUGGCGUAAUGAUGGCCAGGCUGUCUCCACCCGAGACUCAGUGAAAUUGAACUCGCUGUGAAGAUGCAGUGUACCCGCGGCAAGACGGAAAGACCCCGUGAACCUUUACUAUAGCUUGACACUGAACAUUGAGCCUUGAUGUGUAGGAUAGGUGGGAGGCUUUGAAGCGUGGACGCCAGUCUGCGUGGAGCCGACCUUGAAAUACCACCCUUUAAUGUUUGAUGUUCUAACGUGGACCCGUGAUCCGGGUUGCGGACAGUGUCUGGUGGGUAGUUUGACUGGGGCGGUCUCCUCCUAAAGAGUAACGGAGGAGCACGAAGGUUGGCUAAUCCUGGUCGGACAUCAGGAGGUUAGUGCAAUGGCAUAAGCCAGCUUGACUGCGAGCGUGACGGCGCGAGCAGGUGCGAAAGCAGGUCAUAGUGAUCCGGUGGUUCUGAAUGGAAGGGCCAUCGCUCAACGGAUAAAAGGUACUCCGGGGAUAACAGGCUGAUACCGCCCAAGAGUUCAUAUCGACGGCGGUGUUUGGCACCUCGAUGUCGGCUCAUCACAUCCUGGGGCUGAAGUAGGUCCCAAGGGUAUGGCUGUUCGCCAUUUAAAGUGGUACGCGAGCUGGGUUUAGAACGUCGUGAGACAGUUCGGUCCCUAUCUGCCGUGGGCGCUGGAGAACUGAGGGGGGCUGCUCCUAGUACGAGAGGACCGGAGUGGACGCAUCACUGGUGUUCGGGUUGUCAUGCCAAUGGCACUGCCCGGUAGCUAAAUGCGGAAGAGAUAAGUGCUGAAAGCAUCUAAGCACGAAACUUGCCCCGAG
rnacentral:rRNA from 1 species